GAUGAACGCUGGCGGCGUGCCUAAUACAUGCAAGUCGAGCGAACAGACGAGGAGCUUGCUCCUCUGACGUUAGCGGCGGACGGGUGAGUAACACGUGGAUAACCUACCUAUAAGACUGGGAUAACUUCGGGAGACCGGAGCUAAUACCGGAUAAUAUAUUGAACCGCAUGGUUCAAUAGUGAAAGACGGUUUUGCUGUCACUUAUAGAUGGAUCCGCGCCGCAUUAGCUAGUUGGUAAGGUAACGGCUUACCAAGGCAACGAUGCGUAGCCGACCUGAGAGGGUGAUCGGCCACACUGGAACUGAGACACGGUCCAGACUCCUACGGGAGGCAGCAGUAGGGAAUCUUCCGCAAUGGGCGAAAGCCUGACGGAGCAACGCCGCGUGAGUGGUGAAGGUCUUCGGAUCGUAAAACUCUGUUAUUAGGGAAGAACAAAUGUGUAAGUAACUAUGCACGUCUUGACGGUACCUAAUCAGAAAGCCACGGCUAACUACGUG
rnacentral:rRNA from 1 species